GACGAACGCUGGCGGCGUGCCUAACACAUGCAAGUCGAACGAUGAAGACCGGUGCUUGCACUGGUUGGAUUAGUGGCGAACGGGUGAGUAAUACGUGAGUAACCUGCCUUUGACUCUGGGAUAAGCCUUGGAAACGAGGUCUAAUACCGGAUACGACUAACCUUCGCAUGAAGUGUUAGUGGAAAGGGUUUGUACUGGUUUUAGAUGGGCUCACGGCCUAUCAGCUUGUUGGUGAGGUAAUGGCUCACCAAGGCGACGACGGGUAGCCGGCCUGAGAGGGUGACCGGCCACACUGGGACUGAGACACGGCCCAGACUCCUACGGGAGGCAGCAGUGGGGAAUAUUGCACAAUGGGCGCAAGCCUGAUGCAGCGACGCCGCGUGAGGGAUGACGGCCUUCGGGUUGUAAACCUCUUUCAGCAGGGGAGAAGCGAAAGUGACGGUACCUGCAGAAGAAGCGCCGGCUAACUACGUGCCAGCAGCCGCGGUAAUACGUAGGGCGCGAGCGUUGUCCGGAAUUAUUGGGCGUAAAGAGCUUGUAGGCGGUUUGUCGCGUCUGCUGUGAAGCCCGGGGCUUAACUCCGGGUUUGCAGUGGGUACGGGCUAACUAGAGUGCAGUAGGGGAGACUGGAAUUCCUGGUGUAGCGGUGGAAUGCGCAGAUAUCAGGAGGAACACCGAUGGCGAAGGCAGGUCUCUGGGCUGUAACUGACGCUGAGAAGCGAAAGCAUGGGGAGCGAACAGGAUUAGAUACCCUGGUAGUCCAUGCCGUAAACGUUGGGCACUAGGUGUGGGGGACAUUCCACGUUUUCCGCGCCGUAGCUAACGCAUUAAGUGCCCCGCCUGGGGAGUACGGCCGCAAGGCUAAAACUCAAAGAAAUUGGCGGGGGCCCGCACAAGCGGCGGAGCAUGCGGAUUAAUUCGAUGCAACGCGAAGAACCUUACCAAGGCUUGACAUAUACUGGACUCCCCUAGAGAUAGGGUUUCCCUUCGGGGCUGGUAUACAGGUGGUGCAUGGUUGUCGUCAGCUCGUGUCGUGAGAUGUUGGGUUAAGUCCCGCAACGAGCGCAACCCUCGUUCUAUGUUGCCAGCACGUGAUGGUGGGGACUCAUAGGAGACUGCCGGGGUCAACUCGGAGGAAGGUGGGGAUGACGUCAAAUCAUCAUGCCCCUUAUGUCUUGGGCUUCACGCAUGCUACAAUGGCCGGUACAAAGGGUUGCGAUACUGUGAGGUUGAGCUAAUCCCAAAAAGCCGGUCUCAGUUCGGAUUGGGGUCUGCAACUCGACCCCAUGAAGUCGGAGUCGCUAGUAAUCGCAGAUCAGCAACGCUGCGGUGAAUACGUUCCCGGGCCU
rnacentral:rRNA from 1 species